UACCACUUUGAUGAGAUAGGUUCCAUCGUUUUCCCAUAUUUUUGCUGUGACAAAAAGAGUAGCACUUGGUGUUGCAUUUGGAUUAGUUAUAUUACGGCUAGUGCCUUUUGGUAACUCCUUCUGCGUGCGUUUGAUCCUUCGUCGAGUCACGAGUGUUAGGCUUGUGUAUGAUUGCUACUUCUUCAAGACGGAACAUCUCAGAGACAGGUUUAUGAGAUCGUCAAUAGGAGCAUCAUUGGGGAUCUAUUUGCACUCAGCGUAUUGAUGAGUCCUCCCCUACAUUCGGAGGACACCGUUUGUGUAUUCUUACAUCGAGUUAGCCCUUUUAAUUUUUAUUUGAGGUAGCCAUGAACAUGUCAUCGGCACCAAUUAGAUAGUAGUGAUAGAGGCUUCAUAGACUAGAUAGUGAUGAGUCGAUUGAGUAUUUCUAUCCUUGAGUUAUUCUUGUCAAACUAUUUUUAAAUGACAAAUAUUUUAG